rfam:Rattus norvegicus chromosome 20, whole genome shotgun sequence.
GGGGAUUUAGCUCAGUGGUAGAGCGCUUGCCUAGCAAGCGCAAGGCCCUGGGUUCACUCCCCAGCUCCG